rnacentral:rRNA from 1 species
UACGAAGGGGGCUAGCGUUGCUCGGAAUCACUGGGCGUAAAGCGCACGUAGGCGGCUUUCUAAGUCAGGGGUGAAAUCCUGGAGCUCAACUCCAGAACUGCCUUUGAUACUGGAAAGCUUGAGUUCGGGAGAGGUGAGUGGAACUGCGAGUGUAGAGGUGAAAUUCGUAGAUAUUCGCAAGAACACCAGUGGCGAAGGCGGCUCACUGGCCCGAUACUGACGCUGAGGUGCGAAAGCGUGGGGAGCAAACAGG